rnacentral:rRNA from 1 species
UCAGCUCGUGUCGUGAGAUGUUGGGUUAAGUCCCGCAACGAGCGCAACCCUUAAGCUUAGUUGCCAUCAUUAAGUUGGGCACUCUAAGUUGACUGCCGGUGACAAACCGGAGGAAGGUGGGGAUGACGUCAAAUCAUCAUGCCCCUUAUGAUUUGGGCUACACACGUGCUACAAUGGACAAUACAAAGGGCAGCGAAACCGCGAGGUCAAGCAAAUCCCAUAAAGUUGUUCUCAGUUCGGAUUGUAGUCUGCAACUCGACUACAUGAAGCUGGAAUCGCUAGUAAUCGUAGAUCAGCAUGCUACGGUGAAUACGUUCCCGGGUCUUGUACACACCGCCCGUCACACCACGAGAGUUUGUAACACCCGAAGCCGGUGGAGUAACCUUUUAGGAGCUAGCCGUCGAAGGUGGGACAAAUGAUUGGGGUGAAGUCGUAACAAGGUAGCCGUAUCGGAAGGUGCGGCUGGAUCACCUCCUUU